rnacentral:rRNA from 1 species
CAGUCGCCACGGUAAUACGGAGGGUGCAAGCGUUAAUCGGAAUUACUGGGCGUAAAGCGUGCGUAGGCGGUUCGUUAAGUCUGUUGUGAAAGCCCCGGGCUCAACCUGGGAAUGGCAAUGGAUACUGGCGAGCUAGAGUGUGUCAGAGGAUGGUGGAAUUCCCGGUGUAGCAGUGAAAUGCGUAGAGAUCGGGAGGAACAUCAGUGGCGAAGGCGGCCAUCUGGGACAACACUGACGCUGAGGCACGAAAGCGUGGGGAGCAAACAGGAUUAGAUACCCCAGUAGUCCCUGUCUCUUAUAC